rnacentral:rRNA from 1 species
UACGUAGGGGGCAAGCGUUGUCCGGAUUUAUUGGGCGUAAAGCGCUCGCAGGUGGUCCGCUGCGUCGUGCGUGAAAGACCCCGGCUCAACUGGGGGGCGUCGUGCGAUACGGGCGGACUGGAGGCCAGUAGGGGGAUGCGGAAUUCCGGGUGUAGUGGUGGAAUGCGUAGAGAUCGGGAGGAACACCAGUGGCGAAGGCGGCCAUCUGGAUCAACACUGACGCUGAGGCACGAAAGCGUGGGGAGCAAACAGG